UACGUAGGGACCAAGCGUUGUCCGGAUUCAUUGGGCGUAAAGGGUGCGUAGGUGGCGCUGUAAGUCGGGUGUGAAAUCCUGAGGCUUAACCUCGGAACUGCAUUCGAUACUGCGGCGCUUGAGGACUGGAGAGGAGACUGGAAUUCAUGGUGUAGCAGUGAAAUGCGUAGAGAUCAUGAGGAAGACCAGUGGCGAAGGCGGGUCUCUGGACAGUUCCUGACACUGAGGCACGAAGGCCAGGGGAGCAAACGGG
rnacentral:rRNA from 1 species